rnacentral:ncRNA from 1 species
AUUUUAGCUUUGAUAAGGAAAGUAACAUAAAGUAAGAUUUUCAGAGAGUCUUCGGUUGGUGCAAGAAGAUAAUUAAGCUUUACGCGAAAAUCACCUUUGAGCAGAAAACACGAUAUUAGUGUUUUCAGGGUCCGCCCUUUACAGCGGCGACGUAUCGCUAAUCAGUCUUGAUUGGCCGCACGUGCAUGAGGUCAAUGAUUAAGUCAUUGACGAAGAAUAGGUGGUACCGCGUAUAGACGCCCUAUUA